AUUUCACUGUAUCUGCCAUGCAUGGAGAUAUGGACCAAAAGGAACGAGACGUGAUCAUGAGGGAGUUUCGUUCUGGCUCUAGCAGAGUUUUGAUUACCACUGACCUGCUGUGUCUUCCCUCCGGGAUAGUGUCCUCCGUGCACAUGCUGAAGAGUUGUCUUUCUUGACGUAGGCCAGAGGCAUUGAUGUGCAGCAGGUUUCUU
rnacentral:sRNA from 1 species